CGGAGGAAAAGAAACCAACAGGGAUUGCCUUAGUAGCGGCGAGUGAAGCGGCAAAAGCUCAAAUUUGAAAUCUGGCACUUUCAGUGUCCGAGUUGUAAUUUGAAGAAGGUAUCUUUGGGUCUGGCUCUUGUCUAUGUUUCUUGGAACAGAACGUCACAGAGGGUGAGAAUCCCGUGCGAUGAGAUGUCCCAGACCUAUGUAAAGUUCCUUCGAAGAGUCGAGUUGUUUGGGAAUGCAGCUCUAAGUGGGUGGUAAAUUCCAUCUAAAGCUAAAUAUUGGCGAGAGACCGAUAGCGAACAAGUACAGUGAUGGAAAGAUGAAAAGAACUUUGAAAAGAGAGUGAAAAAGUACGUGAAAUUGUUGAAAGGGAAGGGCUUGAGAUCAGACUUGGUAUUUUGUAUGUUACUCUCUCGGGGGUGGCCUCUACAGUUUACCGGGCCAGCAUCAGUUUGAGCGGUAGGAUAAGUGCAAAGAAAUGUGGCACUGCUUCGGUAGUGUGUUAUAGUCUUUGUCGAUACUGCCAGCUUAGACUGAGGACUGCGGCUUCGGCCUAGGAUGUUGGCAUAAUGAU
rnacentral:rRNA from 1 species